rnacentral:rRNA from 2 species
UUACCAUGCAAGUCGCACGAAACCUUUCGGGGUUAGUGGCGGACGGGUGAGUAACGCGUUAGGAACCUAUCUGGAGGUGGGGGAUAACAUCGGGAAACUGGUGCUAAUACCGCAUGAUGCCUGAGGGCCAAAGGAGAGAUCCGCCAUUGGAGGGGCCUGCGUUCGAUUAGCUAGUUGGUUGGGUAAAGGCUGACCAAGGCGAUGAUCGAUAGCUGGUUUGAGAGGAUGAUCAGCCACACUGGGACUGAGACACGGCCCAGACUCCUACGGG